CGAGCGGGCGUAGCAUACGUCAGCGGCAGACGGGUGAGUAACGCGUGGGAACAUACCUUUUGGUUCGGAACAACACAGGGAAACUUGUGCUAAUACCGGAUAAGCCCUUACGGGGAAAGAUUUAUCGCCGAAAGAUUGGCCCGCGUCUGAUUAGCUAGUUGGUGGGGUAACGGCUCACCAAGGCGACGAUCAGUAGCUGGUCUGAGAGGAUGAUCAGCCACAUUGGGACUGAGACACGGCCCAAACUCCUACGGGAGGCAGCAGUGGGGAAUAUUGGACAAUGGGCGCAAGCCUGAUCCAGCCAUGCCGCGUGAGUGAUGAAGGCCCUAGGGUUGUAAAGCUCUUUUGUGCGGGAAGAUAAUGACGGUACCGCAAGAAUAAGCCCCGGCUAACUUCGUGCCAGCAGCCGCGGUAAUACGAAGGGGGCUAGCGUUGCUCGGAAUCACUGGGCGUAAAGGGUGCGUAGGCGGGUCUUUAAGUCAGGGGUGAAAUCCUGGAGCUCAACUCCAGAACUGCCUUUGAUACUGAGGAUCUUGAGUUCGGGAGAGGUGAGUGGAACUGCGAGUGUAGAGGUGAAAUUCGUAGAUAUUCGCAAGAACACCAGUGGCGAAGGCGGCUCACUGGCCCGAUACUGACGCUGAGGCACGAAAGCGUGGGGAGCAAACAGGAUUAGAUACCCUGGUAGUCCACGCCGUAACGAUGAAUGCCAGCCGUUAGUGGGUUUACUCACUAGUGGCGCAGCUAACGCUUUAAGCAUU
rnacentral:rRNA from 1 species